AACGCGAGAAACGCAUCCCAGCCCAAACGGCACGAGCACGCACGCCGCCGCCCAGUGUCUGCACUCCGCCGGCGCCGUCCCCCGCCCCGGUCAACGUCUCCCCCGUAGCCUGGCCGUGCCGCGCUGCUGCGGUGCGCCGUGCGCCCCCUGCUGGCCCCGGCCAGCCGGCCUCCCCCCGCGGCGGCGACGAGCAGAGCAGCCGACGUGGCGACGGCGGCAUCCCUCCUCUGCGCCCCCGGCCCCGUGUUUCUGCGGCCGCCGGCUGUGUGGCCUGCUUCUGCCUACUGCCGCCGCGGCGCCCCUUCUCUGGCUGAAAUAGAAGUUGGUGUUUGCUUCAGUCCUGGCUUCACAACUGGCUCCCAUCUCAGUAUCCCACCAUGCUCUUCAGUCCAAAGCUUCUCUCAUGGACGUGCCCCAGACAGUCACAAGCCCAGGCUGCUCUGCUCCGCCGCCUAUUUUGCGCCUUCUACCCAACCAACCUCGACGAUGAUGAUCCCCCAUUUACACGAAUCCCCAAAAGUCCACCUCGAGCUCCAACGCCGCCGCCGCCGCCGAAGCCCAAAGACCAGCCUGCCAAGAUCAGCCCCGACGAGCCGGCACACUCCGACCUUCCAUUCGACUUCCAGUACUCGUACUCGGAGACUGACCCGGCUUGGAAGCCCAUUGGAUUCCGCGAGCCCACCCGGUUUUCGCCCUUUGGCCCCGGCCGCCUUGACCGGCCUUGGGACGGCGUCGCCGCGCGUGCCGAAGGGAACAGAGAGGAUGUUUAUGGCAGUGCGAGUAGUAGGGAUGAGGUGCUUGGCGAGGCGCUGUCGGAAGCGGAGGUGGCAGAGCUCGUGGAGAGGUACCGGCACAGCGACUGCUCCCGGCAGAUCAAUUUGGGGAAAGGUGGUGUAACUCAUAAUAUGCUCGAUGACAUCCACAACCACUGGAGACGUGCAGAAGCGGUCAGAAUCAAAUGUCUUGGGGUUGCAACUCUUGACAUGGACAAUAUAUGCUUCCAUCUUGAGGAUAAAACAGGUGGGAUAAUCAUACACUGUAGCAUAAAUAUACUCAUCCUAUAUCGUGGCCGGAACUAUGAUCCAAAACAACGGCCUGUCAUACCAUUGAUGUUGUGGAAGCCAUUGGCUCCUAUUUAUCCUAAGGUUGUCCAAAAUGUUGCGGAAGGGUUGACUUUUGAGGAAACAAAAGAAAUGAGAAACAGAGGAUUACAUUCGCCACCGCUUAUGAAACUGACUAGGAAUGGUGUUUAUGUUAAUGUUGUUGACAAAGUGAGAGAGGCCUUUAAGACUUCGGAAGUUGUGAGACUAGAUUGCUCUCACACCGGCACUAGUGAUUGCAAAAGAAUUGGUGUGAAGUUGCGGGAUUUGGUUCCAUGCAUUCCUAUAUUAUUUAAAGAUGAACAAAUUAUUCUCUGGAGAGGGAAGCGGGACCAGGAGGACUCUGUUUCAGCUCAUUGUACUUCUCCACCACAAUGAAGCUGGACCAGGAGGACUCACAGUAGCAGCUUGCUGAAGCAGGCCUGCUGCUUGGAUGACUUGUAUGACUUCCACGAGAUGCGUUCACUGGAGAAUGCCACCAUCUAUCGUUAGAUUACAGCAACAUAAGGAUCUGCAGUCUACAGGAAAUGAUCUAGUUGCUUGUCAAUAUUUCUUGCUGCUGUCUGAAGUAAUUUGUCUCGAGAUUAUGUGGACCGCACAACAGGAGAGUGAUGUUCUAUUUGUGUGAAGAAAAAGACAAUUUAUAAGGUAUGCAGCAGCAUCUCCUUGCUUGGAAGCGGUUGCCACGGUCAGCAGUACUUCCAGCUGAAGGAUUCAUCUUCAGCCUUCCGUCCUCUGGCUCCCACCCCCGCAGUUUUGGAAGUGUCAGCUUGUUUCUGUUGCUUCAUCUGCCUGAUCCAGGAUCGAUGCUCGAGAUUGAGGCGCCAAAAAAUAGAAUCUCUAGACAUGUGAUUCACAUCCAUGCCAUUUGAAUCAAGAUCAGAUGGUCUGAGCCUCAAAUAAGCUUUUUAGCCGAUGUUGUACACCCUUUUGGUGGAUGGAUUAACACAUAUUCGAUAGAUAUAAGCAGAUUUAAGACAUAUGCAUGUGUGGCUGUGUGACUUGCCUUCGUGCCAAUGUUGUUGCAAAGAGUUGAUCAUCUCAACUGGCUGUGCUUUUUUCUGGCAAGUGGACAAGAGGAUACUGGAUAUCCGAAGAACAUGCCACCAGAACGAAAGCAUUCGCACCACAAGAAAGCUGUGGGUAACAAAAGUUGUCGUAGACAGACUGAAGACCAUAAAAAAUCAUCACAUUUUCAACUAUGAAAAAUUCUCUUCUCUUCGCAUACACCACAAGAUUUGCAUCCUCAAAACCAACCUAAAAUAUACAUUAAAUAUUAUAUUUUUCCCGCCUAACUAUAAUCUUAACUUGUUACUUCAAUCCUUUCAAUCCCAGCUCAUCCUUCUGCAUACCUUUUGAAUCGUAGUAUGUAUCAAUGUAUGUAUGUACAAGCCAUCACGAGAAACAAUGCUCGAUGUAUGUUACGAACUGUCAGUAACAGCGAUGGCGGUGACGGCGGCGGCGCCGCUGGUGUCCUCCAUCCAGGCGGCCUGCGUUUCGUCCCACGACCGCGGGCGGACGCCGGUGCGGAAGAAGACGACCAUCUCCAGCGCCUCGAACACCUUGUGCCUGUCCAGCACCCCGUUCCACACGCCGCUGAGGAUGCAGUAGUUGGUGCUGUAGGGCUGGCGGUGGUGCGCGGCGUGCUGCGCGCGCGACACCAGCACGCCGGCGGCCUGCAGCGCCUCGACGCCGGGCGGCAGCCGGCGGCGUUUCUCGUGCGCCCAUGCGUGGAACUGCUGGCUCAGCACCACGCACGCCGCGAAGGUCCCCGCGAAGGCGUGCGCGGCGGCCGGCGCGUGGGCGGCGGCCGCCGCGCCCUCCACGGCGGGGAGCGCGAGCGCGACGGCGCGCGCCAGCGCGUGCAGGUUGUUGCAGGGCUCCCGGCGCGUGAUGGUGGAGGGGUGGCGGUGGUGGCCCUGGAAGGCGGCGAUCUGCGCGCCGACGAGGGGCGUGGAGGCGUCCCCGUAGUUGUCGACGAGCCAGUGGUAGACGCCCGUGGCGAGGUCGGCGACGGUGUAGGCGGCGAGGGCGGCGGCGAGCGGCUCGGCGUAGGAGCCGGAGUCGGCGGCGAGGGAGGCGGACGCGGAGAGCGAGGAGAGCACGGCGGCCGAGCCGGCCAGCGUCCACGCGCGCUGCGGCCACGUGGACCGCAGCUCGUCCGGGUCGGCGCGGGCCAGCGCCGCCGGCGUCGGCGAGGCCGCCCGGCACGGCGGCGGCGCGCGGCGGUGCACCGGCGGGAGGGUGCAGCGGGGGGUCAGCGCGUACAUGGCUGGCAUGGCUUGGUGUCUGCUUCCACGUACGCGCGUGAUCCGCUUUCGUUCAAAACGAAUUCCAGCCAGAAGUUGCGCGGGCUGCUGGCUUUAUAG
rnacentral:rRNA from 1 species